AGCUUUAUAGUUCAAAAAGAAUUUUAAAUUGCAAAUUUAAAGAUGGGCUAAGCCCUAAGGCUU
rnacentral:tRNA from 1 species